ACGUAGGUGGCAAGCGUUGUUCGGAAUUAUUGGGCGUAAAGGGCGCGUAGGCGGCGUGGUAAGUCACUUGUGAAAUCUCCGAGCUUAACUCGGAACUGCCAAGUGAUACUGCUGUGCUAGAGUGCAGAAAGGGCAAUCGGAAUUCUUGGUGUAGCGGUGAAAUGCGUAGAUAUCAAGAGGAACACCUGAGGCGAAGGCGGGUUGCUAGGCUGACACUGACGCUGAUGCGCGAAAGCCAGGGGAGCAAACGGGA
rnacentral:rRNA from 1 species